CCAAGAGCUACGUUUCUACCGAUUGAUUUUCCGUUUUCUCCAACCGGUGAUUCUAACAUUUUGGGAGUGCAAGCAAGUGGUCUAGGGUUCCUACUUGAGCUUGGUUGUCUACACUAGAGUAGGUGAUGAUGUACCAUUGGAGCAAGCUUUGGAGGUUGAAGAAGACCCAGCCCCUAGUACUUAGGCCUUCUACUAGCUCUUAGUUGAUUAGCUUGUUAUUUUGAAAAACUCCUAGCUUUUAUUUUAUAUAGUUCGACACUUUUGAAAAA